rnacentral:rRNA from 1 species
CCUACGGGUGGCAGCAGUGGGGAAUAUUGGGCAAUGGGCGCAAGCCUGACCCAGCAACGCCGCGUGAAGGAAGAAGGCUUUCGGGUUGUAAACUUCUUUUAAGAGGGAAGAGCAGAAGACGGUACCUCUUGAAUAAGCCACGGCUAACUACGUGCCAGCAGCCGCGGUAAUACGGAGGAUGCGAGCGUUAUCCGGAUUUAUUGGGUUUAACGGGUGCGCAGGCGGAUUGUUAAGGCAGCGGUCAAAUCGUGGGGCGAAACCCCAUCCAGCCGUUGAAACUGGGGAUCUAGAGUGUGCGAGAGGUAUGCGGAAUGCGUGGUGUAGCGGUGAAAUGCAUAGAGAGCACGCAGAACCCCGAUUGCGAAGGCAGCAUACCGGUGCACAACUGACGUUCAGGCACGAAAGCGUGGGGAUCGAACAGGAUUAGAUACCCUAGUAGUC